rnacentral:rRNA from 1 species
UAAAUUGCCCCUGCUAUAACCAAAACACCCGCCAGAGUAUUACGAGCACAAACGCUUAAAACUCUAAGGACUUGGCGGUGCCCCAAACCCACCUAGAGGAGCCUGUCCUAUAAUCAGCAACCCACGAUACACCCGACCGCCCCUCGCACACAAGCAGCCUACAUACUGCCGUCGCCAGCCCACCUCCUGAGAGCCCAACAGUGGGCACAAGAGCUAACCCGCUAGCAAGACAGGUCAAGGUAUAGCCCAUGGGGCGGAAGAGAUGGGCUACAUUCUCUAAGGUAGAGAACCCAAUGGACGGGGGCAUGAAAUUGCCCCCUAAAGUCGGAUUUAGUAGUAAAGGCAGCCCCAUAAAACUGCCUUUAAGAAGG